UGAAGCGAAGUUGAAGAAAUCACUACAGGAUUUCUCGUUAACCUCAUUCAUAAAUUUGUUUGAGACGGUAGUUAACUUUAGAUGAUGAUGUGAAUUUUUUAUGGGUAAAUCAUUAAGGGAAAUGUGAAAAUUCUUGAGUAGAUACCAGUUACCCUCUAUUAUUGGAUUAUUAAAUGGUUGAUCAUAUCUAAUGUAAGGAAUUGUUGCAUCAAUCCUACAUCCCUUUAAAAAAAAAAAACAGAAUUAUUUUUGCUCUAAAAUUUCUUUGAGUUUAUCAAAUAAGAAACAUGUAUAAAGGAAAAAUAAGAUUAUUACCCUUGUAUCAACUAAUAUCAUCACUUUCCU
rnacentral:lncRNA from 1 species